rnacentral:tRNA from 1 species
GGAUGAGUGACCGAGUGGUUGAAGGUGCCAGUCUUGAAAACUGGUGUAUUGUAAAAUACCGGGGGUUCGAAUCCCUCCUUAUCCG